rnacentral:tRNA from 1 species
GGUUGUUUGGCCGAGCGGUCUAAGGCGCCUGAUUCAAGCUCAGGUAUCGUUUGAUGCAAGAGUUCGAAUCUCUUAGCAACCA